GACGGAAGGUGCAAGCGUUGCUCGGAAUCACUGGGCGUAAAGGGUGCGUAGGCGGCUUGGUAAGUUGGGUGUGAAAGCCCCGGGCUCAGCCCGGGAAGGGCACUCGAAACUGCCGAGCUGGAGUGCCGGAGGGGAGAGUGGAAUUCCUGGUGUAGCGGUGAAAUGCGCAGAUAUCAGGAAGAAUAUCCGUGGCGAAGGCGGCUCUCUGGGACGGUACUGACGCUGAGACGCGAAAGCGUGGGGAGCGAACAGG
rnacentral:rRNA from 1 species